UAUAUUUAUAUUAACAUUAUCUUUAUUACUGCUGUCGUUUGCAGUUUUAAUAAUUAACUUUCAAACUAAUCUGUCAUUAUACAAUCUGAUGAUGUAGUGAAUGACUUCCUAUUUUGUGCAGUAUAGUAUUGACAGAAAUCUCUUGGGAUGAAUUAUAUCCAUCUCUUCUGAGACUACCUCAUCAUCAAUCUUCCCAUUUUUUCUAUCAUCAUUUUAAUCAGUACCUGCUUGCCUCCGGCCCCUCUUCCUCUAUAGGCUUGCAUCCAGGCUCUGUGCAUUGCACGGCGUUCCUACCCGCAUGCUUAAGAGGAUCAUUUCCUCUUUUUCCCAUCCCUCCUUCCAUCUAUCUGGGAUUCUCCAUCUGGGACUUUGAGCCAAUCACGGCCAAUCAUUCAGGUUUUUUUAGUCCACUUUUACAGACUACUGCCCCCCAUUGGUUCCUGACGAAGCCCC